AUUCAGCUGACAAGUCUUAAAUAGGACGAAACACGCGUCAAACUGGAU
rfam:Schistosoma rodhaini strain Burundi genome assembly, scaffold: SROB_scaffold0006751